rnacentral:rRNA from 1 species
GCAGCCCGCGGUAAUACGGAGGGUGCAAGCGUUACUCGGAAUCACUGGGCGUAAAGAGCGUGUAGGCGGGUAUAUAAGUCAGAAGUGAAAUCCUAUAGCUUAACUAUAGAACUGCUUUUGAAACUGUAUACCUAGAAUGUGGGAGAGGUAGAUGGAAUUUCUGGUGUAGGGGUAAAAUCCGUAGAGAUCAGAAGGAAUACCGAUUGCGAAGGCGAUCUACUGGAACAUUAUUGACGCUGAGACGCGAAAGCGUGGGGAGCAAACAGGAUUAGAUACCCUGGUAGUCCACGCCCUAAACGAUGUACACUAGUUGUUGUGAGGCUCGACCUUGCAGUAAUGCAGUUAACACAUUAAGUGUACCGCCUGGGGAGUACGGUCGCAAGAUUAAAACUCAAAGGAAAUUGACGG